rnacentral:tRNA from 1 species
GGGGUAUUAGCUCAGCUGGUAGAGCGCUUGGUUCGCAAUCAAGAGGUCGCGAGUUCGAUUCUCGCAUACUCCACCA